GUAAAUGUUAGGGUCAGCGACAUGGUAUUAUACCUUUGCUUGCAGGAGAUCAUCAGGACUCUAUAUAUAACACCACGGUCAUUCGGCGACGAAUUUAUUUAUGAACAUGCUGAGCCGGUGCUAGAGAAGAUCGAGCGACCGAGAGACCGACAGAGGGACUAAAUCCGCGGCCGCUAGAGAUCGUGCCAGAAUUUCCUGCGGUGCAGUACUCGUUCCCACGUGAAAGGGUACAUUUACCAAGAGGAAUGUAACCGUUUACAUCUUCAAGAAGAAGUAUAUCAUUUUUACUCUGUGACUUGAAUUAUAAUGCAUCGUGGCACUGUGCGUUCUACGUACUCCGGGCUAUCUGACGUUGAGGAGAUCUCACCGAGACGACUGUCGCCUCAACGACUCUUCACGGUUUUCCCUGCCAACUGGAAAUUCUUGUGCGAUACUCUCUCGGCAAUGACGGACUGCCUUUGCUCAUGUUAACGUUCGGCUGCGACAUAGUAAAGAACGGUCAAAUGGUUAUCGGUAGACGGUUAGGCCAAAAAAUGUGCACAUAACGUAGGGCCAAAAUAUUAAAAAUAUUUUUACUAUCUAA